rnacentral:rRNA from 1 species
GCGCAAUGGGNUCNUUAAAACAGNUUAUAGNUUUAUUUGCGUAAGCGUUUAUAUGGAUAACCGUUAGUAAUUCUAGAGCUAAUACAUGCUGGUUACGCANUGCGUAGUAUUUAUUAGAUAAAACCCAACGGGGGCAACCCUGUGGAGGAAUCAUAAUAACUUGGCGGACCUCUUGGAGGUGAANCAUUCAAGUUUCUGCCCUAUCAGCUUUCGAUGGUAGUGUAUUGGACUACCAUGGCGAUGACGGGUGACGGGGAAUUAGGGUUCGAUUCCGGAGAGGGAACCUGAGAAACGGCUACCACAUCUAAGGAAGGCAGCAGGCGCGCAAAUUACCCAAUCCUAACUCAGGGAGGUAGUGACAAGAAAUAACAACGCGGGGCUUAGUCUCGCGAUUGGAAUGAGUUAAGUGUAAAAGCCUUUUCGAGGACCCACU